rfam:Canis lupus familiaris chromosome 1, whole genome shotgun sequence.
AGGAGGAACAGCCCCAGUGGCGGGGCAGCUCUGGAAACCUGGAUUCAGCCCCCGCAGGAACUCCGGAGCUCUCCGUCUGCAGGGCCUGGAGGCUCCGGGGCGGG